rnacentral:misc_RNA from 1 species
UCUCUGUAGAUGGAGUCUUUGACAGCAUCUCUGAGAUCAGGGGAUAGCUGGCUUGACUGAAAAGAAGUGUUUGGUUGGUGUAUGGGUGAAGGCAAGUCUUGAGCAUGGGUUUCAGGAACAACGGUUUGAUUGAGAAAGCAUGGUUCCAGCGGAGAUGCUCUAUUGCAUUCUAAAGAUGACAAACUAGAAGAGCAGGAGGAAGAUGAAAAUGAGGUUCUGGAUGAUUCUGUGGGGACUCUCAGUUUCUCUUUGAUGGCCUUCUUGUGGUCUUUUUCCUGCAAAUGUAAGUUCAAUCUUCUUCAACAAUUUUGCUGAAAUAUUUCCAUUAAAGAAAAGAUUUUAGAUUUGAAUGCUUACUGUGGUCUUCUGAGAAGUACUCUUGGGCUCUAAACUAUUGUUGCCAUUUUGACCUGUAAAAGAGUUGCAAUGUAAACUCUAAGCUGAAACAAGCUUCGAAUACAUAAUAGAGAAAGGGGUAAAAAAGGCAAAACAAUUAGUAUCUAAAUGCAGAUCACUGGUGAUAAUGUUAUGGCACAGCAUCAAUGUUUUGGCUGUUACUCCCCGGAUGACAGAAAGCUUAUUAAAUAUUGUAAUAAAGAUUGAAUAAAGGGAAAAAUUAAAGAAAGGAAAAUCUAACGAAGAGCUGUGGAUAGCUUCCAGCUCUCAAGUCAUUGGCUCGAUUGCUACGAAGCCGUUGAUUAAAAUUUUGACAAUGAAACUAAAAUGCUAGGCAAUUUUACAUGCUGUAACACCUGAGUCUAUAAGAAGAAACUAUCAAGAAUAGAAAUGAUAUUCUUUCAAAUGCUAAUUAACAGGAAGUGAAGCAUUGCACUGAACAUCUUAGUUGGAAAUUUUUACAAGCUCUGUAAAUUAAAACAGCUUUGAUAGAAGAGAAUUAAACUAUGAACUAACUUAUUUACCGUUGAAAUCUGGCUCGAAGGAAAUGAGUCUUAGCGUUGGCACUACAUAAAAAUAUGAAGGGCUUGUAAGUGUUAGCAAAUCAUAACAAAAUAGUUUAAGCUAUUUUAGUGGAGAGCCUAAUUUUCAGCUCAAUUCAGCAUAAAGGACGGCCUGUGCCUAUUUUAUAGAUCAAUGCCCGGGCUCGCAAAUUUCAGCAUGUGUUAAAGAGUGUUUAGCCAUUAGUAGGCCAAACCUGAAGAAGCUGGACUUCUGAGCUGAGCCUGGAAGAGUCAGACUCAAGUAGACUCAUGGAGAGCUAAAUAUUGAGGGCUCGUCCAAGAGGAGUUAGACCCAAAUAGAUGAGUCAUCCCACGUGAUGGCAAGAAACAACUGGGUUUGGGAGCCUAAUUCUGAACCCAAUUGUACUUAAAAUGGAGUGUUAAGAUAUGCCGUAGAGGGUCCGGAGUCCCACAUCAACAGUGCAUAAAAGAAUAUAAAGGCCUUAAAGUGUCAAAUCAAAAUUGGCGAUGGAGCGCUUAAUUUUCAGUCUAAUUCAACUUAGAGAUCGGCCACUGACUAUAUAGAUCCACACCCCCGGCAUAUCCACAUUAUUGAUGAUACGGAAUAAUUCAAGUUGCAUUAAGAAAGGAAAAGUACCUGCCGGAAGUCUCUUCUGGUU